rnacentral:rRNA from 1 species
GUGCCAGCCGCCGCGGUAAUACCGGCAGCUCGAGUGAUGACCGAUUUUAUUGGGCCUAAAGCGUUCGUAGCCGGCCGGGCAAGUUCGUCGGGAAAUCUACCAGCUUAACUGGUAGGCGUCCGGCGAAAACUGCUCGGCUUGGGACAGGGAGACUCGAAGAGUACGUCCGGGGUAGGAGUGAAAUCCUGUAAUCCUGGACGGACUACCGAUGGCGAAAGCACUUCGAGAGAACUGAUCCGACGGUCAGGAACGAAAGCUGGGGUCUCGAACCGGAUUAGAUACCCGGGUAGUCC